rnacentral:rRNA from 1 species
CAUAUUGUGAGCUCGAUGAGUAGGGCGGGACACGUGGUAUCCUGUCUGAAUAUGGGGGGACCAUCCUCCAAGGCUAAAUACUCCUGACUGACCGAUAGUGAACCAGUACCGUGAGGGAAAGGCGAAAAGAACCCCGGCGAGGGGAGUGAAAAAGAACCUGAAACCGUGUACGUACAAGCAGUGGGAGCCUCUUUAUGGGGUGACUGCGUACCUUUUGUAUAAUGGGUCAGCGACUUAUAUUCUGUAGCAAGGUUAACCGAAUAGGGGAGCCGAAGGGAAACCGAGUCUUAACUGGGCGUUAAGUUGCAGGGUAUAGACCCGAAACCCGGUGAUCUAGCCAUGGGCAGGUUGAAGGUUGGGUAACACUAACUGGAGGACCGAACCGACUAAUGUUGAAAAAUUAGCGGAUGACUUGUGGCUGGGGGUGAAAGGCCAAUCAAACCGGGAGAUAGCUGGUUCUCCCCGAAAGCUAUUUAGGUAGCGCCUCGUGAAUUCAUCUCCGGGGGUAGAGCACUGUUUCGGCAAGGGGGUCAUCCCGACUUACCAACCCGAUGCAAACUGCGAAUACCGGAGAAUGUUAUCACGGGAGACACACGGCGGGUGCUAACGUCCGUCGUGAAGAGGGAAACAACCCAGACCGCCAGCUAAGGUCCCAAAGUCAUGGUUAAGUGGGAAACGAUGUGGGAAGGCCCAGACAGCCAGGAUGUUGGCUUAGAAGCAGCCAUCAUUUAAAGAAAGCGUAAUAGCUCACUGGUCGAGUCGGCCUGCGCGGAAGAUGUAACGGGGCUAAACCAUGCACCGAAGCUGCGGCAGCGACACUAUGUGUUGUUGGGUAGGGGAGCGUUCUGUAAGCCUGUGAAGGUGGCCUGUGAGGGUUGCUGGAGGUAUCAGAAGUGCGAAUGCUGACAUAAGUAACGAUAAAGCGGGUGAAAAGCCCGCUCGCCGGAAGACCAAGGGUUCCUGUCCAACGUUAAUCGGGGCAGGGUGAGUCGACCCCUAAGGCGAGGCCGAAAGGCGUAGUCGAUGGGAAACAGGUUAAUAUUCCUGUACUUGGUGUUACUGCGAAGGGGGGACGGAGAAGGCUAUGUUGGCCGGGCGACGGUUGUCCCGGUUUAAGCGUGUAGGCUGGUUUUCCAGGCAAAUCCGGAAAACCAAGGCUGAGGCGUGAUGACGAGGCACUACGGUGCUGAAGCGACAAAUGCCCUGCUUCCAGGAAAAGCCUCUAAGCAUCAGGUAACAUCAAAUCGUACCCCAAACCGACACAGGUGGUCAGGUAGAGAAUACCAAGGCGCUUGAGAGAACUCGGGUGAAGGAACUAGGCAAAAUGGUGCCGUAACUUCGGGAGAAGGCACGCUGAUAUGUAGGUGAAGCGACUUGCUCGUGGAGCUGAAAUCAGUCGAAGAUACCAGCUGGCUGCAACUGUUUAUUAAAAACACAGCACUGUGCAAACACGAAAGUGGACGUAUACGGUGUGACGCCUGCCCGGUGCCGGAAGGUUAAUUGAUGGGGUUAGCGGUAACGCGAAGCUCUUGAUCGAAGCCCCGGUAAACGGCGGCCGUAACUAUAACGGUCCUAAGGUAGCGAAAUUCCUUGUCGGGUAAGUUCCGACCUGCACGAAUGGCGUAAUGAUGGCCAGGCUGUCUCCACCCGAGACUCAGUGAAAUUGAACUCGCUGUGAAGAUGCAGUGUACCCGCGGCAAGACGGAAAGACCCCGUGAACCUUUACUAUAGCUUGACACUGAACAUUGAGCCUUGAUGUGUAGGAUAGGUGGGAGGCUUUGAAGUGUGGACGCCAGUCUGCAUGGAGCCGACCUUGAAAUACCACCCUUUAAUGUUUGAUGUUCUAACGUUGGCCCGUAAUCCGGGUUGCGGACAGUGUCUGGUGGGUAGUUUGACUGGGGCGGUCUCCUCCUAAAGAGUAACGGAGGAGCACGAAGGUUGGCUAAUCCUGGUCGGACAUCAGGAGGUUAGUGCAAUGGCAUAAGCCAGCUUGACUGCGAGCGUGACGGCGCGAGCAGGUGCGAAAGCAGGUCAUAGUGAUCCGGUGGUUCUGAAUGGAAGGGCCAUCGCUCAACGGAUAAAAGGUACUCCGGGGAUAACAGGCUGAUACCGCCCAAGAGUUCAUAUCGACGGCGGUGUUUGGCACCUCGAUGUCGGCUCAUCACAUCCUGGGGCUGAAGUAGGUCCCAAGGGUAUGGCUGUUCGCCAUUUAAAGUGGUACGCGAGCUGGGUUUAGAACGUCGUGAGACAGUUCGGUCCCUAUCUGCCGUGGGCGCUGGAGAACUGAGGGGGGCUGCUCCUAGUACGAGAGGACCGGAGUGGACGCAUCACUGGUGUUCGGGUUGUCAUGCCAAUGGCACUGCCCGGUAGCUAAAUGCGGAAGAGAUAAGUGCUGAAAGCAUCUAAGCACGAAACUUGC